GAACAUCAAAAGCUGGUGUAAGAUUUUAACAAACAAACAAACGACCGAUUCUCAAAUAUUUCAAACUCGAAAUUGAUUUUACUAUAUUCUGGAAAAUAUGGGUUUACUUGCAGUAAUGUACGUGACAACAAAAUUAAGAAAAUGUCAUAUAAAAAUCACAACUUUUGAAAACGUUUUAGUAACAAAUACGUCUUUCAACAUAUCUGCUCAUAUACCACUGACUUUUGAUCCUACGCGUAGUUGGUCCAAGAUCUUUGAAACAAUAAUUGAAACAAUUGAUUUUACUUCCACUAUGGAAUGAAUCCAACAAAAUUUGACCAAUCAAACAUAUUUGGAAAAAAGUAGCCAAUAAUUUCGGAUACGUUUAAACAAGGUGAUUUUGUCAAAAUACAUUUCAUACUUGUGAGUUAUGUGGUCUAAGAAACUUGAUGUAUUAAAACAAUAAUUAUAUUAGUA